ensembl:lncRNA
GUGAGUGUAAUAUCCAUGGCAUCAUUUAUGAGGCGGUGCGUUUGCGUGUGCGACGGGCACAAGAAGAGGCCACGCUGAUCAUAUUGGGAAAUAUUUUACGCGAUAAGUUUGCAAAUUGGGACUUUUUACACCUUGACUUCAUUUUACAUCCACACAAAGACUGGGAUGAAAAAUAAUGGCUCAGCGUGCAACGUCCAUUUUGCAGCAAGUGAGAGGAAAAAAAGACGAAGAUGCCAUUUGCAGUCCAGUGUUUUUCGCCUGCGGCCGCUGAGCUUCAGCUGCCCUGAACGUUCUGCAUCAAGGCGAGGUUGGAGGAGGGAGUCCACGGCCGAGAGGAGCAGAGAUGCGAGAGGCGACCUGCCUGUGACCUCUCAGGUCUCUUUCAGCUCAUCUACUCUUCUCAGAGAGGAACCUUCCUAAAUUCUAUUCAGCUGGAGGGUGAAGACGCGAGCGGGUGAACUAAAUGCUGCAGCGUCACGUCACCUUCUGUCAGGAAAUGGCCGGUUUACGUGGCUUGAAGGACACGUGGUGGUAAGAAUAACUCACGUAGGGUAGCUGGCUGGCAGGAAUGUCCACAUGUUUCCAGGGUUCGAGCUCCGCUCCCCCCGGCUGUGUUUUGUGUGGAACCGGAUGUUCAGCUGAGGGGCAGCAGCUGACUCGAGUAGAGACUUAGCGCUGAUUGAUUGCACGUGUGUGUGUGUGUGUGUGUGUGUGACAGAGAACCACAGGGGAUCUAUUUGUUUUGGACAUGAGCGCUUCUCUCGAUGAACAU